AGGCAACAUCCCGGAAGCGGCGGGCUACGUUAACUUGUGGCGGGCCGGGAGAUUCUGGAGGCCGAAGUUUUAGUCGUGGUGGAGGCAGCAGUCGGGAAACGGCAAGGCAGGUUGAGAAGACGGGGAGGAGGCCUGCAGCCCACGGCCCCACAGAGUCUUAGGGACCGGGGUUACAGGGCGGGGAACGGUGCCGGCGUCUUUCUUUCUGUUGCCUGCAGACCCAGGCGCCCGAGUUGAGGAUCCUUUUUACAGAAAGCGCACCCACGACCCCAUGUGUUUUGCGAGUGUGUGUGCGUGUCAGGAAGUGUGUUUGGGUGUGUUUGUGUCUAGAGCGCUCCCUCUAGGAGCAUCCUGAGCGUGCGCGUGCGCACCGCUUUCGGUCAUUUCUGCACAAUCGGGGUGCCCUAAUGUAGUUUUCUAGGAAUUUCCUGUCUAGCAGAAGAGAAACAAACUCUCCACUGUACUUGGGGAUAGGGAGGGUAAUUUUAAGUCAAUCUGAUGGUUAGGAAAGUGUUUAUCAGGAGAGACCACUUGAGUGAAUUUUGAGGAGUGAGAGUGUGACAAGUGUACCAAGCAGAGCGUAAGGAACGGCAGAACUGUAUAUGAAGGCUAGAGCUUUGUUCUAGGCUGUGUGGUAGAUGUGAGAGGAGAAAAGACUGGAAAGACAGGCCAUCCAGGCCACAGGGUGCAGGGAGAGGGUCUGAGUGCUAAGCUGGCUUGGAUUUUUCUCUGUAGGGGAGACCCAACCAUCAAAUCAACUUAAAUGACCCUCCCUGUCCCCAAGUACCUUGGAGUUUUUUUUCUCUUCUGCUAGACAGGAAAUUCCUUGAAACAUUAGGGGACCCCAAUUACUAGUUCUGAGCCAAGUCAGCAGUGUUGAGAGCUAAACUCUAUUCCGUAACUCUGGUAGGAUUGAUUGAAGUGACAGUGUUUGGAAAGUGGUCUUGUUCCCCUUUGAUAAGUUUUCCACUAGCCAGAGUGGGUUUCCUGAAUCUGGUCAUAACUGGCCUUGCUCAAAAGUGGGGAGCAGGUGGGGAGUUCCCCUUGUGGCUCAGUGCUACUUACCCAACUAGUUCUAUUCCUGGCCUCACCCAGUGGGUUAAGGAUGGGAGGUUGCCCUUGAGCUGUGGUUUAGGUCACAGAUGCAGCUUGAAUCCCAUGUUGUGGCACAGGCCUAGCCUGGGAACUUCAUAUGUCCAGGUACAGCCCUUAAAAAAGGAAAAAAAUCCUUCAGUGGCUUCCUAUAGGUCUUUAGGAUAGUGUUCAAAUUGCUUUGGCUCACUAGGCUAAGAUCUUUUUUAUUCUCUUUAUAGCCUCUUCCCCUCUCAAAUCUUUGUUAGUCAAACCUUUGUAAAUAUCUUUCUGCCCACCUGGAGCAUUCUUUCCCCAACUUCUAAGUUUUUUUGUUCUUAGUUUCACUCUUAAGCAUUUUUUGGGGAAUCAGAGGGAGGAGGUGGCCUUUUCUCACUGUGUAGAGUAAGUUAAGUAUUUCUAUGGCACUAGAUUUAUUUCCUAUGUUAGCCUUUUACUGCAAUUACUUAUUUAUUUUAUAUUUUUAUUUUAUUUUUUAUUUUAUUUUUAUUUUUUUGUCUUUUUGCCAUCUCUUGGGCCACACCCGAGGCAUAUGGAGGUUCCUAGGCUAGGGGUCAAAUCGGAGCUGUAGCCGCCGGCCUCUGCCAGAACCACAGCAACGUGGGAUCCAAGCCCUGUCUGCGACCUACACCACAGCUCACAGCAACGCCAGAUCCUUAACCCACUGAGCAAGGCCAGGGAUCAAACCCGCAACCUCAUGGUUCCUAGAUUCAUUUCCGCUGCGCCAAGAUGGAGAUUCCAUCAAAAUAUUUGUUGAAAUAAUAUAUGGAUGAUGAAGUGGGUGAGCGAAUGAGUGAAAGGAAGAUCAAUUAGGGGAAACAGUUAGAACCUGGACGAAAACAUUCAUAGUAGAGAUGAAGAAGAAGGGAUAUGAGAGAGAUAUUGAGAGAAAGAAUGAAUAAUUCUGGUAUCUGAUUAAUUUUGAGAUAAGAGAGAAGGUGAUGCUAAGGUUUUACACUGGAGCAACUAGGAAGGUGGUAAUUCUGACAUUUUCUGAGCAAGCUAAUUAUAUAUCAAGAACUAGAGAUUAUUGGUGGGGAAUGUCUGUGGAUGCUAAGCUGGAUAUGGCCAUACUGUAUUUGAGAUGUUUGGGAGAUGUGCACAAAAGCUGGCUGGCAAUGAGCAUUAGGUGUUUUGAGGAAAGGACUCAUUUUCACAGUGUGUUUGUGUGCCCAGGGCAUUGAUAGCUUUGCUCAAGAGAGUAGGUGAGAUCACUCAGGGAAGAUAUGAACUCCCUCUUGGUGAUCUAGAAAGUAACCUUCAUGAGAGCUGGCACCAUAUUAGAUUUGUUUACCAUUGUAUGUGCUGGACACUCAAAAACAAUUAUUGGUCAAGAAGAGAGGGUGUCCAAUGGGAAGGAAAGAACUGAGUGAAGAUCUUUGAUUACGUAGUAUGUGAGGAGAAAGAAAGAAAAAGAGAAAAGAAUAGGACAGAAACCAAGAGAAAGACUGUCUUGGAAACCAAGGGAGGGGAGAGCAUCCAGAAGUAGGACUAUACAGAUAGAAAGGGUCUGAGAAAUAAGGGACUGAUAAUUUUAGCAGUUAAGAACCUAUUAGUGUUUUCUUUUCUAUUCUAUCCUAGCCUAGCCUGUCCUGUCCUAUCUGAUCCAUUUUUUACAAUUGCACCUGCAGCAUAUGGAAUUUCUUGAGCUAGGAGUUGAAUUGGAGCUACAGCUGAGGACUAUACCACAGCCACAGCAACACCCAGUCUGAGCCUCAUCUGUGACCUUCUCUGCAGCUUGCAGCAACACCAGAUCCCUAACCCACUGAGUGAGGCCAGGUCUCCAAUCUGCAUCCUCCUGGAGACUAUGUCAGGUCCUUAACCUGUUGAGCCACAAUGGAUACUCUGUAAGUUGUUAGUAUUUUAGAUUUUCUCCAAAUGAGCCUAGAUUUUCUGGGCCAUGCUAACUUUAUUAUUGACUCCUUAGCACUGUAAGCCAACAGACUGUUUCUAUUGUUUCACAAAUGUAAACUAUAGCUCCCUUAUGACACUUGGUUUGUAAGUGCCACAAAACCCCUCCGUUAGACCACAAAGUCUGAUCCUUGGUCAAGAAAAAUGCUGUCACCAUUAUUGGUGUUGUUUAAGAGAAGACCUUUCAGUGCAUAGGUAGUUCCUGUGUUACAAAAGUUGGAAGUGUAACUGAGGCUUUGUAAAUAGAAAUGCUGUAGUAGGCCUCUCUAUCAUGAAGUUUGUUGGUGAAGGGAAGGUUGAAGAUGGGAUAGCAGCUUUGUUACACAGUGGUGAUCUUAACCAUCCCCAGGCUGGAAUUUAGAGUUGGCCAGUGGAUUAGUUUCCUGUGCUGUAUAGUGGAUUACCACAGAUUUAGUGACUUAAAGUAGUAGACAUUUAGUAUUUCACAGCAUCCACAGUGUAGCUGGGUCUUGUGCUCAGGGUCUCACAAAGUUGUGAUUAAGGUGUUGAUGGUCUGCAUUCUCAUCUGGAGACUCAACUUGGGAAAAAUCUGUUUUAGUUUCACCUGACUCAGGUUGGUAGAUUCAUUUCUCUGGGGGUGUGUGACUGAGAGGUCUCGGCUUCUGACUGACUUUCUGCUGGAGGUGCUCACCAUGAGUUCCCUACCAUGUGGCCCUUUUCAUGGGGUGUCACACCAUGGCAGUUCGCCUCUUCAAGGCCAGCAGGAGAGACUCUUUUCUCCUAAGACAGAGACUUAUAUAACAUAAUGUAAACACAGGAAUGACAUACGCUCACAUUUGACUUAUUUUGUUAGAUAAAACAAGUCAC
rnacentral:lncRNA from 1 species